GAUGAACGCUGGCGGCGUGCCUAAUACAUGCAAGUCGAGCGAACAGACGAGGAGCUUGCUCCUCUGACGUUAGCGGCGGACGGGUGAGUAACACGUGGAUAACCUACCUAUAAGACUGGGAUAACUUCGGGAAACCGGAGCUAAUACCGGAUAAUAUAUUGAACCGCAUGGUUCAAUAGUGAAAGACGGUUUUGCUGUCACGUAUAGAUGGAUCCGCGCCGCAUUAGCUAGUUGGGAAGGUAACGGCUUACCAAGGCAACGAUGCGUAGCCGACCUGAGAGGGGGGUAGCCCACACGGGAGCGGAACCGCGGUCAAGGGGCCUGAGAGAGGCAGCAGUCGGGAACCUGCCGCAGUGGGCGAGAGCUUGACAGAGCAGGGCGGCGCGAGAGAUAACGGUCUUCGGAUCGUGAAACUCUGUUAUUAGGGAAAAACAGAUGUGUAAGUAGCUGUGCACGUCUUGACGGUACCUGAUCAGAAAGCCACGGCUAACUACGUG
rnacentral:rRNA from 1 species